rnacentral:rRNA from 1 species
UGGGGAAUAUUGCACAAUGGGGGAAACCCUGAUGCAGCGACGCCGCGUGAACGAAGAAGGUAUUCGUAUCGUAAAGUUCUGUCCUAUGGGACGAUAAUGACAGUACCAUAGAAGAAAGCUCCGGCUAAAUACGUGCCAGCAGCCGCGGUAAUACGUAUGGAGCGAGCGUUGUCCGGAAUUAUUGGGCGUAAAGGGUACGCAGGCGGUUUAAUAAGUCGAAUGUUAAAGAUCGGGGCUCAACCCCGUAAAGCAUUGGAAACUGAUAAACUUGAGUAGUGGAGAGGAAAGUGGAAUUCCUAGUGUAGUGGUGAAAUACGUAGAUAUUAGGAGGAAUACCAGUAGCGAAGACGACUUUCUGGACACAAACUGACGCUGAGAUACGAAAGCGUGGGGAGCAAACAGG